AUUGAACGCUGGCGGCAUGCCUUACACAUGCAAGUCGAACGGCAGCACGGACUUCGGUCUGGUGGCGAGUGGCGAACGGGUGAGUAAUAUAUCGGAACAUACCUUGUAGUGGGGGAUAACUAUCCGAAAGGAUAGCUAAUACCGCAUACGCUCUAAGGAGGAAAGCGGGGGAUCGUAAGACCUCGUGCUAUAAGAGUGGCCGAUAUCUGAUUAGCUAGUUGGUGAGGUAAAGGCUCACUAAGGCGACGACCAGUAGCUGGUCUGAGAGGACGACCAGCCACACUGGAACUGAGACACGGUCCAGACUCCUACGGGAGGCAGCAGUGGGGAAUUUUGGACAAUGGGGGCAACCCUGAUCCAGCAAUGCCGCGUGAGUGAAGAAGGCCUUCGGGUUGUAAAGCUCUUUUGUCAGGGAAGAAACGGUUGUGGCUAAUAUCCAUGGCUAAUGACGGUACCUGAAGAAUAAGCACCGGCUAACUACGUGCCAGCAGCCGCGGUAAGAC
rnacentral:rRNA from 1 species